AAGUCAUGUUGAGGGCAAUGUCGCAACAAUCUCUUGUAACGCUCCUAAGCUUCAUAAAACGACUCCCCCUCUAAUUGUUGGAAAUUCUAGAUAUUUCUCUUCAACUU